AUUGAACGCUGGCGGUAUGCUUAACACAUGCAAGUCGAACGAGUGGCGGACGGGUGAGUAAUGCAUAGGAAUCUCCCUUUUAGUCUAGGAUAACUACCCGAAAGGGUGGCUAAUACUUGAUGCUAAGAGAUGAGCCUAUGUGGGAUUAGCUAGUUGGUGGGGUAAUGGCGCACCAAGGCGACGAUCUCUAGCUGGUUUGAGAGGAUGAUCGGCCACACUGUGACUGAGACACGGCCCAGACUCCUACGGGAGGCAGCAGUGGGGAAUAUUGGACAAUGGGCGAAAGCCUGAUGCAGCAAUACCGCGUGUGUGAAGAAGGCCCUAGGGUUGUAAAGUACUUUCAGCGGGGAGGCGUUACCGACAGAAGAAGCACAGGCUAACUCCGUGCCAGCAGCCGCGGUAAUUC
rnacentral:rRNA from 1 species